rnacentral:rRNA from 1 species
GUAAGGAAUAUUGGGCAAUGGACGCAAGUCUGACCCAGCCAUGCCGCGUGGAGGAUGAAGGUCCUCUGGAUUGUAAACUUCUUUUAUCUGGGAAGAAAUCCAUAUUUUCUAAUGUGGUUGACGGUACCAGAUGAAUAAGCACCGGCUAACUCCGUGCCAGCAGCCGCGGUAAUACGGAGGGUGCAAGCGUUAUCCGGAUUCACUGGGUUUAAAGGGUGCGUAGGUGGGCAGGUAAGUCAGUGGUGAAAUCUCCGGGCUUAACUCGGAAACUGCCGUUGAUACUAUCUGUCUUGAAUAUCGUGGAGGUUAGCGGAAUAUGUCAUGUAGCGGUGAAAUGCUUAGAUAUGACAUAGAACACCCAUUGCGAAGGCAGCUAACUACACGAUCAUUGACACUGAGGCACGAAAGCGUGGGGAGCAAACAGG